GAUGAACGCUGGUGGCGUGCCUAACACAUGCAAGUCGAGCGAUUCUCUUCGGAGAAGAGCGGCGGACGGGUGAGUAACGCGUGGGUAACCUGCCCUAUACACACGGAUAACAUACCGAAAGGUAUGCUAAUACGAGAUAACAUGCUUUUAUCGCAUGGUAGAAGUAUCAAAGCUUUUGCGGUACAGGAUGGACCCGCGUCUGAUUAGCUAGUUGGUGAGGUAACGGCUCACCAAGGCGACGAUCAGUAGCCGACCUGAGAGGGUGAUCGGCCACAUUGGAACUGAGACACGGUCCAAACUCCUACGGGAGGCAGCAGUGGGGAAUAUUGCACAAUGGGCGAAAGCCUGAUGCAGCAACGCCGCGUGAGCGAUGAAGGCCUUCGGGUCGUAAAGCUCUGUCCUCAAGGAAGAUAAUGACGGUACUUGAGGAGGAAGCCCCGGCUAACUACGUG
rnacentral:rRNA from 1 species